rnacentral:rRNA from 1 species
GGAACUGAGACACGGUCCAGACACCUACGGGUGGCAGCAGUCGAGAAUCAUUCACAAUGGGGGAAACCCUGAUGGUGCGACGCCGCGUGGGGGAAUGAAGGUCUUCGGAUUGUAAACCCCUGUCAUGUGGGAGCAAAUUAAAAAGAUAGUACCACAAGAGGAAGAGACGGCUAACUCUGUGCCAGCAGCCGCGGUAAUACAGAGGUCUCAAGCGUUGUUCGGAAUCACUGGGCGUAAAGCGUGCGUAGGCUGUUUCGUAAGUCGUGUGUGAAAGGCGCGGGCUCAACCCGCGGACGGCACAUGAUACUGCGAGACUAGAGUAAUGGAGGGGGAACCGGAAUUCUCGGUGUAGCAGUGAAAUGCGUAGAUAUCGAGAGGAACACUCGUGGCGAAGGCGGGUUCCUGGACAUUAACUGACGCUGAGGCACGAAGGCCAGGGGAGCGAAAGGGAUUAGAUACCCCUGUAGUCCUGGCAGUAAACGGUGCACGCUUGGUGUGCGGGGAAUCGACCCCCUGCGUGCCGGAGCUAACGCGUUAAGCGUGCCGCCUGGGGAGUACGGUCGCAAGAUUAAAACUCAAAGAAAUUGACGGGGACCCGCACAAGCGGUGGAGUAUGUGGCUUAAUUCGAUGCAACGCGAAGAACCUUACCUGGGCUUGACAUGUAAUGAACAACAUGUGAAAGCAUGCGACUCUUCGGAGGCGUUACACAGGUGCUGCAUGGCCGUCGUCAGCUCGUGUCGUGAGAUGUUUGGUUAAGUCCAGCAACGAGCGCAACCCCUGUUGCCAGUUACCAGCACGUGAAGGUGGGGACUCUGGCGAGACUGCCCAGAUCAACUGGGAGGAAGGUGGGGACGACGUCAGGUCAGUAUGGCCCUUAUGCCCAGGGCUGCACACGUACUACAAUGCCCAGUACAGAGGGGGCCGAAGCCGCGAGGCGGAGGAAAUCCUAAAAACUGGGCCCAGUUCGGACUGUAGGCUGCAACCCGCCUACACGAAGCCGGAAUCGCUAGUAAUGGCGCAUCAGCUACGGCGCCGUGAAUACGUUCCCGGGUCUUGUACACACCGCCCGUCACAUCAUGGAAGCCGGUCGCACCCGAAGUAUCUGAAGCCAACCGCAAGGAGGCAGGGUCCUAAGGUGAGACUGGUAACUGGGAUGAAGUCGUAACAAGGUAGCCGUAGGGGAACCUGCGGCUG